CUCCUCCUCUGCUGCCGCCCGUAUAUAUACGCCACACAGCCACAAUCCCCAGUGCAGGAGGGUUCUGGUCCAGCGCUGAAGAAGCGGAAAACCCCAGGCGCCCAACGACCUUCCUUCCGGCGAAACCAUCCUCCCACUCCUCCCUCAUCUCCCUGCUCGCCGAGGCUCAGCUCAGGAUAAACCAUGGGUGGCGUUUUGGGUUUAGUGCAGGUUGAUCAGUCAACUGUUGCUAUCAAAGAAACUUUU